AGCCAAGCUUAAAACCCAAAGGACUUGACGGUACCCCAUAUCCCCCUAGAGGAGCCUGUCCUAUAAUUGAUAAUCCACGUUUAACCUCACCAUUUCUAGUUAAUCAGCCUGUAUACCUCCGUCGCCAGCUUACCACGUGAGCGCUAAUUAGUGAGCCUAAUGUUAUUUCACCAAUACGUCAGGUCAAGGUGCAGCAAAUGAAAUGGGAAGAGAUGGGCUACACUUUCUAUUUUAGAAAAAACGAAAAACUAUUUAUGAAAUCUAGUUAGAAGGCGGAUUUAGUAGUAAAAAGGAAUCAGCACGUCCAUUUUAACCCGGCACUGGGGUGUGUACACACCGCCCGUCACCC
rnacentral:rRNA from 1 species